GUGGGGAAUAUUGCGCAAUGGGCGAAAGCCUGACGCAGCGACGCCGCGUGCGGGAUGAAUGAUUUCGGAUCGUAAACCGCUGUCAGAAGGGAAGAAACUACAUUGUGCUAAUCAGCAGUGUACUGACGGAACCUUCAAAGGACGCACCGGCUAACUCCGUGCCAGCAGCCGCGGUAAUACGGAGGGUGCAAGCGUUAAUCGGAAUUACUGGGCGUAACGCAAACGUAGGCUGUAGUGUAAGUCAGGGGUGAAAUCCCACGGCUCAACCGUGGAACUGUCUUUGAUACUGAACAACUUGAAUACGGGAGCGGGUGGCGGAAUUACAGGUGUAGGAGUGAAAUCUGUAGAUAUCUGGAGGAACAUCAGUGGCGUAGGCGGCCACCUGGACCGGUAUUGACGCUGAGGUGCGAACGCGUGGGGAGCAAACAGGAUUAGAUACCCGUGUAGUCC
rnacentral:rRNA from 1 species